GUGAAUCAUCAAAUUUUUGAACGCAAAUUGCACUCCCCGGUUUUCCAGGAGAGUAUGCCGGUUUGAGGUUCAUCCUAAAAAAAAUCGACAUAGUUGCUGUUACCCGGUAACGUUUGUGGGAAAUUUUUUCAUCUUAGACCUUUUGUGGUAAGUGGCUUAAAAUUUGCUUUACGAUUCCAAGAACGUUUCUA
rnacentral:misc_RNA from 1 species